GAUGAAGAACGCAGCGAAAUGCGAAAAGUAAUGUGAAUUGCAGAAUUCAGUGAACCAUCGAAUCUUUGAACGCACAUUGCGCCCGCUGGAACUCCGGCGGGCACGCCUGUCCGAGCGUCAUUUCAACCCUCAGGCCCCCCUUCGCUGGCGGGCCUGGUGUUGGGGCCCGGCCGCUACCCUGCGGCCGUCCCCUAAAUUCAGUGGCGGCCUCGCCGUGAUCCCUUGCGUAGUAAUGCACCUCGCACCGGAGAGCGCCGUGGCCACGCCGUAAAACCCCCAAUUUUCAAUGGUUGACCUCGGAUCAGGUGGGAAUACCCGCUGAACUUAAGCAUAUCAAUAAGCGGAGGA
rnacentral:misc_RNA from 1 species